rnacentral:rRNA from 1 species
CCUACGGGAGGCUGCAGUGGGGAAUAUUGGACAAUGGGCGAAAGCCUGAUCCAGCCAUGCCGCGUGUGUGAAGAAGGCCUUCGGGUUCUAAAGCACUUUCAGUGGGGAAGAAAGCCUUGGGGCUAAUACCCUCGAGGAAGGACAUCACCCACAGAAGAAGCACCGGCUAACUCCGUGCCAGCAGCCGCGGUAAUACGGAGGGUGCGAGCGUUAAUCGGAAUUACUGGGCGUAAAGCGCGCGUAGGCGGUCUGAUAAGCCGGUUGUGAAAGCCCCGGGCUCAACCUGGGAACGGCAUCCGGAACUGUCAGGCUAGAGUGCAGGAGAGGAAGGUAGAAUUCCCGGUGUAGCGGUGAAAUGCGUAGAGAUCGGGAGGAAUACCAGUGGCGAAGGCGGCCUUCUGGACUGACACUGACGCUGAGGUGCGAAAGCGUGGGUAGCAAACAGGAUUAGAUACCCGAGUAGUC